GGAAAGACCAAAACAGGAGGGAGCUUUCGACAUUGGAAGAAGGGGUUCCGGGGAUGUACGGAAAUGCAAUCAUCUCUGACUUCAUACCGACGCCCGCCUUGUGGCCGGGUAAGCCGAAGAGGGGGAAGCGUCUCAUGGUGGAGGACCAGAAGGAGGGGAAGGCCGACUUCCAGGAGUUCAACGACGAGUCCGAGGAGGACGAGUUCGAUGCCAUGCGGUUCUCCUUUGGAUCAAAAUCCAUUAUUUCCCGAGGUGACCUUUUUUUUUAUAAUGUGAUGAAUGAUGAAAGUAAACAUCAAAGGAAGGAGUCUGUAAGAUAGAGUUUAUACUUUUGAUAUAACCAAAAGAAAAGAAAAUCUCUUUGUUAUUAGAAAAAGGUGGUGCUCAAGAGAACUCUGCAAGAAAGGGAUAUUCCAAGUUCAUCAUUUCAGAGCUUUUACUAUAGCACUUCAAAUUUUUGUUUGGUUUGCAGAGGGCUCAAUGACCAAGUCUGUAAAUUUUAAUGGAUCUGCUGCUAAAUCAGCUUUAAAAAAAAAAGAAUCAGUACAGAGGAAUCCGACAAUGCCCAUGGGGCAAGUGGGCAGCUGAAAUCAGGGAUCCUCACAAAGGGGUUCGUGUCUGGCUUGGAACCUUUAACACUGCUGAAGAGGCUGCCAGAGCCUAUGAUGUUGAAGCCUGUUGAAUCUGGGGUAAGAAAGAGAAGGUGAACUUCCCUACUGCACCAUUGUCAGGUUCAACAAAUUUCUCACCAAAACCUACUGCGCGAAAAGUUUCAAAACCAAAAGUGUCAGAGACGAUUGACUUCAAGCAAACUAUUAAGUACCAGAGUGACCAAAAGCUUGAGCUCUAUUUAAGGUUCAUGGAGGACAGGGAACUAACCAAGCCUGACUACUCAGAUUCUCUUAUCACAAUACCUGCAGCACCUUCAGAAGUAACCGGACUGAAUUUCCACUCAGAGCAGGGAAGUAAUUCUUUUGGUUAUACAGACAUUGGAUGGGAGCUUGAGGCCAAGAUGCCAGAUAUCACAUCAAUUCUUGCUCCCUCCAUAACUGAAGGUGAUGAACCUGAAUCAUUCGAUGAUAUCAGCCUGUGGAAGUAAUUCUUUUGGUUAUACAGACAUUGGAUGGGAGCUUGAGGCCAAGAUGCCAGAUAUCACAUCAAUUCUUGCUCCCUCCAUAACUGAAGGUGAUGAACCUGAAUCAUUCGAUGAUAUCAGCCUGUGGAAGAAAGUGGAGCCUAAUAAUUUUAAAGAGGCAGUGCCAGCAGAGGAAAAUGCUGCAGCCAAACUCUCAGAGGAGUUAUCUGCUUACAAAAUACAAAUCAUAUAUGAAGUUCCUCCCUGAGCCUUACUUUGAGGGUAGUUUGGAUGCAUCGAUUGACAGCUUAUUUGGUGGUGAACUGGUACAGGAUGAUGUGGACCUUUGGAGCUUUGAUGACUUGCCAACUAGAGCAUCAUGUACUGAGGGAUUCUGAUCCUUGCCAUUGUCGUUCUAGAAAAGAACAAAUGAAUCAAUAUUGCUGAAGGAUAUGCAGAACUGGAAACAGUAGCCAGAUAUAAUAAAUUCAUUGUAAUUUGAUUUGCACUAGUGCCUUCAAGAACACCUUUGAUUGUAGCUGUAUGAAUUGUUUCACUUUGUGGUUUCUUGGAUGUGUUUCUCAUUUUAUGAUGAGUAAUGCUUUCUUUUAAGUCAAUUCUUUCAGAUUCUGCUGUUGCUUUUACCAGAUUCAUUAUGAGAUUGAUGAUGAACACAAGGGGUUAUAGCAGGGUUGGGACCAAAUGUGUAUUGUUAUUGUUUUUAUAUGUUGUGAAUUCGAUCUGAUACUGCCUACUAAUGGUCUGCCAUGACUUCAAUAGUUCUUAAUUGUUAAUGGUUCAUGAGCUUCAAAUUCUAGUGGUUAUUGGCCUACAAGUCUAUGUUUCCAAAUGUUAUGUCUAUGAUAAUAUUUUAAAUUAUUUGCGUCUGCUUGUUUUAUAAAACUGGUUAAUUGCUAUCUAGGAAGCAUAGAUAUUGCUUGAUGAAAGAUGGCUUUCAAAACCCAGAGGCAAUCUCAUGGGUGGCAAUUAAGGGAUUGGUGGUCUUUGACAAAAUGUAAUCUAAAUGUGCUGUGAACGCUGUCAACUUUCAAGUUUGCAUCUUUUGUACUAGCAUCAUUGGUUAUUUCAGUGAUAAUUGAAACAACAAGACAGCAGUUGCAGAUUCUUUUGUUGUCUAUUAUGCUGCAUCUUGAUCUAGCCUAUAUCUUUGGUAAUAAAAGAAAGGAGUCAGAACAAGGGUUGUACUUUUGUGGCUUGUUGUGGAGAGAGCUUAGUUUUUUUGUGGAUUCAUAUGGAUGGAGACUACCAUUGGGAUUGGCAAAAAACAAGAGUUGGUUUUCUCCUGACAGUUUUGGAAUAACUACUGGAAUAAAAGUGGUUUUAAUUUUUUCUUGCCUAUGUUAAAGGCAAGUUGUGGGGACUUUGAUAUAUUUAACUUUCACUCGAUGUUGCUUCUCCCUUGGUUCAAGGAAGGGACCAGCUUUGUGGGGACUGUGAGCUUGUUUUACCAUUAGUCUUUUUGGUAAUCUGCUUUACUUGGGAUUCCUUUUUCUUGAUUUCAUAAAUCUAGUUAACCGUAAUCUAUAUUUUCAAUCACCACACACACAGCUCUUCUUUGUUAGCUUCUGACCUUGAUCUUGUUUCACCAUCAAUCAUUUUGGUAAUCUGCUAUACUUCAGAUUCCAUUUCUUGAUUGCAUAAAUUUAAUACAUCUAUUUUUAAGCAGCACAUGCAUAGCUCUCCUUCGUUAGCUUUUGACUGAGCUUGUAGAUUACACCAGUAAUCUUUUUUGUAAUCUACUGUUAUUGGGUUCCAUGUCCUUGAUUGCAUACAUUUAGAUAACCUAAGUAAAUAUUUUUAAGCAGCACAUGCAGAGCUCUUCUUAGCUUCUACAUAGAUUUGUUCACAAUGCUCAUGUUUCCUUUUUGCUUGAUUGCAUAAUUAUACCAAAUUUAUUCUUAAACAGCAAAAGCAAAGCUCUUAUUUGUUAAUUUUGUAUACCGAAAUUUGUUCAGUGAGCAUGGAUAUAAACACUGACAUGCUAGUUUAUGUUUUGCAUUGACUAGAUCAUGUUCUAGAUCUCACUGUAUUGGAACAAUAUGAUAUUGUGUCAUGUGUUUGCUUUUGACUAAUAAAACAUCUAAAUGUUGAUAAGCAAUCAUUCUAUUGAAUAGUUUUUCAACUGAUAAUGAGGAUUAAAUUGGAUUGCAGGGUGUAUGGAUCAAUGCAGGUUGAAGAUCUGGUUAUGUUGGUGUCUUUUCUCUUAAAUGAUGGCUCCAGUUAUUACCCUUUCGAAGGAAAUGAAUGAUUCCACCACAAACAUCAUCUUCUCAGGCACUUAAAGAUUUGGGGAAAUCUUUGUCGUUCUUGAUAAAUAUCUGCUUGUAUGAGAUGUUCGGGGCCCACUCUGCUUUUAGGUUUGUACAGGACAGCUCAGGUUGUAGCUGUGAAGCCUUCAUGGUGAAGGAUGGGUUGCAAUCACACGACUAUUGGUAUAAAGUGAUGCUGCCAACUUGGUGGAGGUUCUCAACAAAAAGAAACCAUUCCCUUGACGACAGCUUAAUAUUUUUGAUGCAAUCAGCAUCAAUCAUAUACAGGGAGACCAACAAAGAUGCCAAUUGGGUGGCUGGCUUUUCUCGGACCUUCAGAUUCAUGCACAGAUAGAUGGAACUGUAGAUGUAUACUGAAAGGGCUGUCAAUUUUUUGAAGCAUGCUCGGACUAGAGAAAGUGAGAAGAGGAAAGGAGAGGGGGUGUAAGUUAGGUUUCCACUAUUUGCACAGUGAUCUGCUGCUGCUGAGUUCCCCUGCUGUCAUUAUCAAGAAUCUCCCCACAGUGAUUGAGCUAUAGAUCGGCAACUUGUUCCAGACAUGAUCACUUUAUGAAGGUUGGCAAGCACCCACAAACUCCUUGUCUCUUUGUGAAAACCAGAUCAACAUUGUAGCAGGAGUCCAUCCCAUGUCAUGGAUUUUAUCUUGUUUGCAUCUGGAAUCUGAAACACAAAGUCCAAUUCAUGUCUUCUUUAUCUUAUCAUGUCACCAUAACUUAUAUCUGAGUUCCUAUCGUAUGAAAGUAAUAAGAUCUUGCUAGAUCUACAACUUGAGUUUUUGGAUUCCCUCAACAGUUUGCUCAAGUUAUAUUUGCAGUUUCCUGCAAGGUUUUCCAGGUACUAAUCAGAAGAACUUUAGACUUGAGCAAGAACAAAAAGCAUCUCAGAAUCAUUUCAACUUUGCACUGCUUUAUAUAUGCCUUCCAUUAGUUUUUUGACUUCUACUCAAAGUUGUCGGCCAUAUGAUCUCAAAGAUACGCACAUUUCAAAGCUAUAGUCAACUUCUCACAGUAAUCUUUGGUGUUGCUUUUGGGCAGGUGCUAAUCCUCUCCGAUCAUGCCUUCAACUAUGGCCGUUCAAUUCUCCUAUCAGUACUGUCAGCUGAUCUCGAUUCUACCCACCACUGAUGAGUCCAUGAAGGAUCACAACUCCUUUGGCUACUACUACUAUUGGAUAAGCUUGUCUGCAUCAGUUGUUCAUAGACUAGUCAAUGACUUGCCAACUCUGAUCUACUUUUCCUCUGAUGAUGAAGUUUACCUCUGUUUGCAAGAUCGAGUGUCAUCGUGGCUUAAUAGAAUUAUUGUGAUCCUGAAGCCAAAUGUCACACAAGACAUGCUGCCUGCGUCGAUCAUUAAUCUUUCCUGCAUCGUUCAGGCAUAUGUGCUGCUAUUUGUGCUUGAUACAUGCAAACGUGCUGUCUACUGGAACAAAGAACUCGAUGAACACAAGACUCAAUUCUCAGUUUUUUGGUAAUGAAAAAGGAGGCUAAUUUUAUUGCAACAGAACACUGGCAUUCCAGGCUUACACAACACUCUGAAAACAUCAAAAGACGAUCUUUUUUGCAUUUUUGAUUUUGCUAA